UACGAAGGGGGCUAGCGUUGCUCGGAAUCACUGGGCGUAAAGGGUGCGUAGGCGGGUCUUUAAGUCAGGGGUGAAAUCCUGGAGCUCAACUCCAGAACUGCCUUUGAUACUGAGGAUCUUGAGUUCGGGAGAGGUGAGUGGAACUGCGAGUGUAGAGGUGAAAUGCGUAGAUAUCGUAAGGAAGACCAGUGGCGAAGGCGAAUCUCUGGACAGUUACUGACACUGAGGCACGAAGGCCAGGGGAGCAAACGGG
rnacentral:rRNA from 1 species